rnacentral:rRNA from 1 species
UUGACCUCGGAUCAGGUAAGGAUACCCGCUGAACUUAAGCAUAUCAAUAAGCGGAGGAAAAGAAACCAACAGGG